GCACUCCCUGGGCGUCUCUAUCUCAUUGCGAGAGGAGGCGCACCCAGAGCGUACACGCUGAUACCCGAAAGAUGGUGAACUAUGCCUGGCCAGGACGAAGCCAGGGGAAACCCUGGUGGAGGUCCGCAGCGAUUCUGACGUGCAAAUCGAUCGUCGGAGCUGGGUUUAGGGGCGAAAGACCAAUCGAACCAUCUAGUAGCUGGUUCCCUCUGAAGUUUCCCUCAGGAUAGCUUGCGCUCGGACGAGACGAGUCUCAUCCGGUAGAGCGAAUGAUUAGAGGCCUUGGGGUCGAAACGACCUCAACCUAUUCUCAAACUCCAAAUAGAUGAGAACCCUGGCUUUCUUGAAUUUUUCUAUGAAGCCAGGGGUUCGGAUCAGAGUGCCAAGUGGGCCAAUUUUGGUAAGCAGAACUGGCGCUGUGGGAUGAACCAAACGCGGAGUUAAGGCGCCUCAAUCGAUGCUCAUGUGAAACCAUGAAAGGCGUUGGUUGCUUAAGACAGCAG
rnacentral:rRNA from 1 species